UAGAAUCUGUUGGGUGAGAGAAAACGCAUAGAAGAGGGAAAAACCAAGGAAAAAGGGAAGAAAAGAAAAAGAAAGGAAGGAAAAAUGAAGAAGAAAGAAGAUACUUGUGCCAACUGCUUCAAUCUUGUUUAUUUAAUUUUUCAAGAGGAGGGGAUUUGGACGUGGGAACAACAUACCAACCCCGUUAGUCCAACCUAUAUCUGAGGCUGUUGAUUGAGCUGUAGUGGAGAUUAUUUUGAUAGUUUUGCAACUACUACUAUCACCAAUUGUAGGUUCUUUUGUUUGAAAUUGUGUAAUCAUCAAGUGAAAUAUUUGCAUCAUAUUGGAGGAAUUUUUUUUUAGUAUUUAUAUGUACCAAUGAUCAUGAUAGAAUAUUGUAAUCUAAACUGCCUUCUAUUAUCCUUUUGAGAGACAUUUAUGAUGAAAAUGAUAUGGAUGUUUUUGGCUA